rnacentral:rRNA from 1 species
UACGUAGGGACCAAGCGUUGUUCGGAUUUACUGGGCGUAAAGGGCGCGUAGGCGGCAAUUCAAGUCAGCUGUGAAAUCUCCGGGCUUAACUCGGAACGGUCAGCUGAUACUGCUUUGCUAGAGUGCAGAAGGGGCAAUCGGAAUUCUUGGUGUAGCGGUGAAAUGCGUAGAUAUCAAGAGGAACACCUGAGGUGAAGGCGGCUUCCUGGCCUGUUCUUGACGCUGAGGCGCGAAAGCUAGGGGAGCAAACGGG